GUGGGGAAUCUUAGACAAUGGGGGAAACCCUGAUCUAGCCAUGCCGCGUGAGCGAUGAAGGCCUUAGGGUUGUAAAGCUCUUUCAGCUGGGAAGAUAAUGACGGUACCAGCAGAAGAAGCCCCGGCUAACUCCGUGCCAGCAGCCGCGGUAAUACGGAGGGGGCUAGCGUUGUUCGGAAUUACUGGGCGUAAAGCGCGCGUAGGCGGACCAGAAAGUUGGAGGUGAAAUCCCAGGGCUCAACCUUGGAACUGCCUUCAAAACUCCUGGUCUGGAGUUCGAGAGAGGUGAGUGGAAUUCCGAGUGUAGAGGUGAAAUUCGUAGAUAUUCGGAGGAACACCAGUGGCGAAGGCGGCUCACUGGCUCGAUACUGACGCUGAGGCGCGAAAGUGUGGGGAGCAAACAGGAUUAGAUACCCCGGUAGUCC
rnacentral:rRNA from 1 species